rnacentral:pre_miRNA from 1 species
AGCAUUCGUGGUUGAGGAUAUCGAACACAAAAAAAGAUAUCAUCGAUCACGUGUGAUGA